rnacentral:lncRNA from 1 species
UCAUUGCCAAAAUCAUUACUUUUGUCCAAUUGGCUUUGAAGCAACCCCUGUUAAAGCUAAUAAAGCAUUCAGCAAGGGCCCCCUUUCACCACAAGAAGUAGAAUACUGGAUUUUAAUUGGAGAGUCAAGUAGAAAACAUCCUGCCAUUCACUGUAAAAGAUGGGCAGAUAUUGUCACUGAUCUAAACACUCAAAAUCCAGAAUUCUUAGAUAUCCGACAUCUAGAGAGGGGACUGCAAUUCCGGAAAACAAAGAAGGUUGGAGGAAAUUUGCAUUGCAUCAUAGCAUUCCAGAGACUCAGUUGGCAAAGAUUUGGCUUUUGGAACUUUCCAUUUGGAACCAUUACACAAGAAUCACAACCUCCCACACAUGUCCUGGGAAUUGCCAAAUCUGAGAGUGAGGACAAUAUUUCUAAGAAGCAGUAUGGGCGUCUGGGCAGGUCCUUCAGUGCUAGUUUCCACCAGGACUCAGCAUGGAAGAAGGUGUCUGGCAUCCACGAGAGAAGGAACAGUGGCUACCACAGCUAUAGAGAUUACAAUGGCAAUGACUGACCAUGCCAAAACUUAAUCGCUGAUGUCACCCACAUAGCUGUUAUGUACAGGACUGCAUUAAGCCAUCAGAUGGUUUUAUUAAGUCUAUCAAUAGGAACAGAUUUUGUGGUACAAAGCAUACCCUGUAGUUCUCUAGUUAAAGCCUACUUAGGAUUACUAUGGGUGGCUUCAAAUUAUACAAACAGGUAAGAACAGAUUUCUGCCCUUCUAACGUUAAAAGUAGAUAAGCAAUGUAGAUAAAGGGUUUCACAAAAUCCAACACAAUCAAAACUGCUUCAAAGCAAAACCACAAAUACAUUUAAUAGCAUCAAAACUCAAAACUACUUAAGCAUGAAGUGAUUUAUUGAAACUUGAUCCCUAGUCAUUUAUUUCGGAUACUUUGAUUCCUAUGGCACCAUCUGUCCUUAAAAAAUGGGGGCAGUCAAGGUCUGGUUUUUGCUUAUAGUUAAAACUAAUUUAAAAUUAUCUUUCUAGUCUAUUUGUUCUUUCAGUGCUAACAGUAUCCACCCCACAUCUUUGCUUUCCUGAAUAACUGUCUCAGGAUUCUCCAAAAAGAAGCAGAAAAUAUUCAAGAAACUGACUUUUUCUAUAGGUGCAGAUGGGUGACAUAGGUCAUUGGUCCUGAUACUCUUGACUUGGCACGUGGCUGUGAAAUAGUUACAAGAAUAGGUCUUGAGUGAUGUUCUAGAACAAACCUUGUUUUAGGGAUAUAGUUACAGUCCAAGGUUUCUGUAUCCAUGGUAAUAUGUGCAGUGAGAUGUCACCUUUGACUUGUCUCUUAAUGGAGUCAUCUGUUAGCAACAGCACUGAAGACGUGUUGGCAGUGUCCAGCUCACUCUGAGGACAACUUUGUAUUCUAAAUUCUGAGCCGUUUCCUUUUGUGAAACAUCCAAGCAAUUAGGUAUUUGAAGUGUGUGUUAAAAAUUUUGGAAGUGUGAUUUCAAUACUUGAGCUCCUCUUUAGCUGCUGUUUUCCUUUUGCUGCCAAGGUGUGACUCAUAGACGUCUGUGAUACUGUUCUUUCCUGUCAUAAGUUCACUCCAGGGUUCAAAUCAGUAACUUGGUGAUUACAAGGUUCUGAGUAUGUUGGAACCAUAUUGCAAUAAAAAGGAAGGUUUUGACUUUUUAAACAAAAUUCAUUUUUCUCUUGAAUUUUAUAUCCAUUUAUCCAUGCAUAUAUGUUUAGCCUACAGAAUUACAAAAUGGUCCUGUUUCUGAAGAGAUUAUUUAGCUUGAAAUGUAAAGGACUGAAAGAUUUGUAGGUUGUUGAUUUUUGUUACUUCACACUGGAAAUUUGAAAAUGUUUUCAUCAAAUAAAGAUUUGUUUUCUACUUUU